rnacentral:rRNA from 1 species
GAUGAACGCAGGCGGCGUGCCUAAUACAUGCAAGUCGAGCGAACAGACGAGGAGCUUGCUCCUCUGACGUUAGCGGCGGACGGGUGAGUAACACGUGGAUAACCUACCUAUAAGACUGGGAUAACUUCGGGAAACCGGAGCUAAUACCGGAUAAUAUAUUGAACCGCAUGGUUCAAUAGUAAAAGACGGUUUUGCUGUCACUUAUAGAUGGAUCCGCGCCGCAUUAGCUAGUUGGUAAGGUAACGGCUUACCAAGGCAACGAUGCGUAGCCGACCUGAGAGGGUGAUCGGCCACACUGGAACUGAGACACGGUCCAGACUCCUACGGGAGGCAGCAGUAGGGAAUCUUCCGCAAUGGGCGAAAGCUUGACGGAGCAACGCCGCGUGAGUGAUGAAGGUCUUCGGAUCGUAAAACUCUGUUAUUAGGGAAGAACAAAUGUGUAAGUAACUAUGCACGUCUUGACGGUACCUAAUCAGAAAGCCACGGCUAACUACGUG